GUAGGGAAUAUUGGACAAUGGGGGGAACCCUGAUCCAGCCAUGCCGCGUGGAGGAAGACUGCCCUCUGGGUUGUAAACUGCUUUUAUCUGGGAAGAAAAAGGCCAUGCGUGGCAAAUUGCCGGUACCAGAUGAAUAAGCACCGGCUAACUCCGUGCCAGCAGCCGCGGUAAUACGGAGGGUGCGAGCGUUGUCCGGAUUUAUUGGGUUUAAAGGGUGCGUAGGCGGCUGAUUAAGUCAGCGGUGAAAGACUUCGGCUUAACCGGAGCAGUGCCGUUGAUACUGGUUGGCUUGAGUGUCGGAGGGGUACAUGGAAUUGAUGGUGUAGCGGUGAAAUGCAUAGAUACCAUCAGGAACACCGAUAGCGAAGGCAUUGUACUGGCCGACAACUGACGCUGAUGCACGAAAGUGUGGGGAUCGAACAGGAUUAGAUACCCUUGUAGUCC
rnacentral:rRNA from 1 species